UGGCGACAAUAGUCGGCAUCAUAAAACUAGUCAUAAAAUAAACUGCUAAUUAUGUAAAGUUUUUGCGGCGACAGUAUGUCGCCCCUAAUUAUCUAACUUUUAGCGACGACAAAUUGUCGCCACCAAAUAUUCCGGUCCGGGUCCAACGUGGUUCUAGCAGUGACACCAUGUCGCCGGUAAUUAUCUAACUUUUCACAGCAACUGCAUGUUGCUGCUAAUUAUCUAACUUUUUGCGGCGACAAAUUGUCGCUACCAAAUAGUUUUAUUGACGAGGUUUUAGGCGGCGGCAUGUGGCGACAAAUUGUCGCCGCCAAAACGUUUUUCGUGGCGACAAAUUUGGCUAUGGAUGGUUAGAAAGUUAGGAGUACAAUAUAUACACACACACACAUAUACAUAUACAUAUAUAGAGUGAGCUGGUAUGCUUCUGGAAGCACGAAACCUUCUGUGCUUCCAAGUCGUUUUCGAUGUGGGGACUUUCGAAUCGACGAUCGGCUCCGUUAAACUUGAUCUAGAGUAUUUGAAAUACCUAGAAAAUAAAUUUUGUAAUUUUUCGAUAUCAUUUGCUUAGUGAUCGAAAGGGCUUAAAAUUAAUAAUUUUAAUGGCCGUGGUGAGCCGUUUGUAAGUUUAACGGUGUAGAAAUAUCCAAAUCACGUGAAAUUUUGAUCGAAAAUUCUUUAUACUAUAUAAAACAAGAUUAAUAUUUUUGAUCUAAAAUUUUAAUGUCAUAUCAUCAUAUUUUGUAAAAUUUUUAUUUUCAGCCGUUGAUUUUGAGUCACUUCGAUCACUAGGCCAAUGAUAUCAAAAAAUCGCAAAUUUAUUUUCUAGAUUCUUAUAAUACUC
rnacentral:lncRNA from 1 species